rnacentral:rRNA from 1 species
UACAGAGGGUGCGAGCGUUGUCCGGAAUCACUGGGCGUAAAGGGCGCGUAGGCGGCUUGAUAAGGUUGCGGUGAAAGCCCGGGGCUCAACCCCGGGUCGGCCGUGGCAACUGUCGAGCUGGAGCACUGUAGAGGCAGGUGGAAUUCCGGGUGUAGCGGUGGAAUGCGUAGAGAUCCGGAAGAACACCGGUGGCGAAGGCGGCCUGCUGGGCAGUGGCUGACGCUGAGGCGCGACAGCGUGGGGAGCAAACACGG